CCUACCAAGGCAACGAUGGUUAGCUGGUCUGAGAGGAUGAUCAGCCACACUGGAACUGAGACACGGUCCAGACUCCUACGGGAGGCAGCAGUGAGGAAUAUUGCGCAAUGGGGGCAACCCUGACGCAGCAACGCCGCGUGAGUGAGGAAGGUUUUCGGACCGUAAAGCUCUGUCGAGCGGGAAGAAAUGCAUAGUGGCUAAUAUCCAUUAUGCUUGACGGUACCGCUAAAGGAAGCACCGGCUAACUCCGUGCCAGCAGCCGCGGUAAUACGGGGGGUGCUAGCGUUGUUCGGAAUCAUUGGGCGUAAAGAGCGUGUAGGCGGCUGGAUAAGUCAGAUGUGAAAGCCCUGGGCUUAACCCAGGAAGUGCAUUUGAAACUGUUCAGCUUGAGUAAGGGAGAGGAAAGUGGAAUUCCUGGUGUAGAGGUGAAAUUCGUAGAUAUCAGGAGGAACACCGGUGGCGAAGGCGACUUUCUGGCCCUAUACUGACGCUGAGACGCGAGAGCGUGGGUAGCAAACAGGAUUAGAUACCCUGGUAGUCCACGCUGUAAACGAUGUUCACUAGGUGUUGGGGGUAUUGACCCUCUCAGUGCCGCAGCUAACGCA
rnacentral:rRNA from 1 species